rnacentral:rRNA from 1 species
AUUGAACGCUGGCGGCAUGCCUUACACAUGCAAGUCGAACGGCAGCACGGGAGCAAUCCUGGUGGCGAGUGGCGAACGGGUGAGUAAAGUAUCGGAACGUGCCCAGUCGUGGGGGAUAACGUAGCGAAAGUUACGCUAAUACCGCAUACGAUCUAUGGAUGAAAGCGGGGGAUCGCAAGACCUUGCGCGAUUGGAGCGGCCGAUAUCAGAUUAAGUAGUUGGUGGGGUGAAGGCUCACCAAGCCGACGAUCUGUAGCUGGUCUGAGAGGACGACCAGCCACACUGGGACUGAGACACGGCCCAGACUCCUACGGGAGGCAGCAGUGGGGAAUUUUGGACAAUGGGCGAAAGCCUGAUCCAGCCAUGCCGCGUGCAGGAUGAAGGCCUUCGGGUUGUAAACUGCUUUUGUACGGAACGAAAAGGUUUGGCCUAAUAAGCUGAGCUCAUGACGGUACCGUAAGAAUAAGCACCGGCUAACUACGUGCCAGCCGCCGCCGUAA